rnacentral:rRNA from 1 species
GAUGAACGCUAGCUACAGGCUUAACACAUGCAAGUCGAGGGGCAGCAUGGUCUUAGCUUGCUAAGGCCGAUGGCGACCGGCGCACGGGUGAGUAACACGUAUCCAACCUGCCGUCCACUCUUGGACAGCCUUCUGAAAGGAAGAUUAAUACAAGAUGGCAUCAUGAGUUCACAUGUUCACAUGAUUAAAGGUAUUCCGGUAGACGAUGGGGAUGCGUUCCAUUAGAUAGUAGGCGGGGUAACGGCCCACCUAGUCUUCGAUGGAUAGGGGUUCUGAGAGGAAGGCCCCCCACAUUGGAACUGAGACACGGUCCACACUCCUACGGGAGGCAGCAGUGAGGAGUAUUGGUCAAUGGGCGAGAGCCUGAACCAGCCAAGUAGCGUGAAGGAGGACUGCCCUAUGGGUUGUAAACUUCUUUGAUAAAGGAGUAAAGUCGGGUAUGUAUACCCGUUUGCAUGUACUUUAUGAAUAAGGAUCGGCUAACUCCGUG